rnacentral:lncRNA from 1 species
CUCUUAAAAAGGACUAUGGUCCUGUUGUGUGGUUGAAUAUAGGUCCUAUCAAGACCAUGGUGAUUCUCUCUGCUGGUGCAGCCGAAGAGUUGUUCAAGAAUCACGACAUCAACUUUGCUGACCGGUUUGGAAACGACUCAAUGAGAUCACAUGAUUACUACAUGAGCUCUAUGGCUGUAGGUGCAUAUACCAGCUACUGGCGCACUUUGAGGAAAAUAUGUACUGUCGAGCUCUUCACUAAUAAGAGAAUCAAUGAAACGGUUUUAGUUAGGAGAAGAUCCGUGGAUGAGCUGCUGGUGUGGAUAGAAAAGGAAGCAGACAAAGGUGCAAGUGAUGGAAUUGAAGUUAUCAGCUUUGUGUUUGCAGCAUUGUUUAAUAUGGUGGGGAAUCUCACGCUGUCUCGGGAUUUGGUGGAUCCAUAUUCGACGAUAUCCUCUGAAUUUUGCGACACUUUGUCAGGAUUCCAUCAGUGUCUGCUCCAUCCUAAUAUUUCUGAUUUGUUUCCCUGGCUAAGUAGGUUUGACCUGCAAGGAAUAAGGAGGAGAAUGGACGGAUAUUUAGGCAAAGCCAUAGAAAUAAUCUCCGGAUUUGUGAAGGAGCGUGUGAAAGAGAGACAAAAAACGCAGAAAUUAUCAUCAGAGCAAAAGAAGGACUUCUUGGAUGUGCUGUUAGAUUAUAGGGGAACCGGAAGGGAUGAACUAGAUUCACUAUCAGAGCACCAAGUCACAAUUUUCCUAAUGGUAAGUACUUCUAAUUGUAUAUUUUGCGGAUUAGUAUUUGGUGAAAACACUAAUUUUACAAGUGCAUAACAUGCAGGAAAUGUUCAUUGCUGGAACACACACGUCAAGCACCACGACUGAGUGGGCGCUGAGUGAGCUCUUGCAGAAUCCUGAUCAAAUGAAGAAGGUUAAAGCCGAGCUUGCUAGAGUCGUUGGAGCCAAGACUAGACUACAAGAGAGUGACAUUGAUAAUCUCCCUUACUUGCAAGCAAUUAUGGAGGAAACGCUACGCCUCCAUCCUCCAGCUCCAAUUUUACUUCCAAGAAAGGCGGCUCAAGAUACCACUUUCAUGGGCUAUAACAUCCCGAAAAAUACACAAGUUCUAGUCAAUAGCUGGGCAAUUGGAAGAGAUGAGGAGAAUUGGAAGGAUGCUUUGUCAUUUAGGCCUGAAAGGUUUCUCAACUCGAAUAUUAAUUCCAAGGGUCAGAACUACGAGCUUUUACCAUUUGGCGCUGGGAGGAGGAUUUGUCCGGGCAUUCCAUUAGCUCAUCGCAUGGUGCCCUUAGUCCUCGGCUCCCUGCUUCACCAUUUUGAGUGGGAGCUUUGUGAUGGUCUGAAGAAGAUAGACAUGACGGAGACGUUGGGGGCAACUGCAACUAAACGAGAACUCUUGCGUGCAAUCCCAAAGCUCAAGACAAUAUAAAUACAGAGUUUGUGUGAUCGAAAUAAUGUCAAGUGUGUUUACUUUUAUUAUGUUUAACCAUUUCAACGCGUUAAAAGAUUGUUGCCAAUAAUCAUUUGUCACACGGUGAAUAUGUCAGGUUUUGAGGGCCUCAAGUCUGCAAAUUCUGUCCUUUAAAAUUUUUCUGAACUGUCAGUACUUCUUACGAGUUCAGAUUAUGUAUCAUUAGAUACCGUUAUGGCUUUAUUAUCACCUUGAUACUCUUGCUGAUCAUUUUGAUAUGUGACUCAUUGGGCGAUCAAUCGGAAAAUUAUCAGAUAUCUGUAAAUGUAUGUAAAGAAGGAAAAACAUGCAUUUUUCAAGCAGUGUUGUAAAAAAUGAAAAUCAUCAUUCAUCGUAAUACCAGAGUUUUAGAACACUAGUUGUUAAACAACCUUGUAAAGUUUGAAAAUCUAUGCAUUCGACUUAACUGAACACUGCCAAUUUCAAAUAUACAACUAGUCGAGCCGCGCAACACACAUUAACUCCACAUUGUCCGCCUGGGCCGUGACCAAACUCGCAUGGAUUUAUUUUUGGACUCCUCCCGAAAGACCUCAUACUAAUGGGGUUGUUUUGGCUGCUUAUAUUCAAAACAAAUCUUUUCCUUCUUUAUGAUGUCGGACUACGGUUGACACCCACUCAACAUGUACAACUACUUUUGGGUGUGAUCAAUCGAGUGAAAAUCGGAUACAAACACUUUCUGCAGAGAACUUGUACUAAUAGUUUGCCAUGCAUAUUAGUUCUUCUGGCUAAAUGAGCAGUUCUGGAACCAUUCUGCUGUGUGUGUAAUGAUGCAACUGAAACUUUAUUUUGUUUAAGCAAGUAGUGGCCCUUUAUCGUGGUGUCACAAGCCCCUUUCGCUGAGGCCUUGGCAUGCAGAGAGGUUUUAAGUUGGUCGAAGAGGAUUGCCAGAUGCUCUGCAGAAUGUUAGUUCCAAGGCACAUGUUUAGUGUUUUAUUUCUCUUUUUUGAACUUUAUUAAAUAACAAAAGAUUCGAUUGUGUUAUCAGUUUCCUGAAAAUUGAACUUGGGAACAGACGUAAUUAGUAUAGUAAUGAGUAGCACGUUAUAGAGGCCGAGACGUGGCAGUUGGAUUCCUUCUUGGUGGAUUGUACUGUCUUUUAGGUCCGUGAACUUGGCGUGCUCAAUAAUUGAAGGAGCGUGCUGCUUCGCUAAAAUGUGCCCAAACAUGGCACAGAACAUGAAACACAACUUUGGAAAUCAGCGGAGUGUCACUUAUAGUAUAAAGUAAGAAAUCAGUUAGAACGCGAAUGGAGAAAAAAAUAUCACCCUGUCAGUUGUCACUAGCUGAUAAUAUAGAAUAUGAUGGGGCUGACAAUUUGGAAAAUGAAGGGCGUUAAUGAUUUACGUCGACUCAUGGCUGGCUCUGGCUAUAAACUGUGCUCAUAACUUCAACAUGCUAGCCGACGUAGUGUGUUCACAGGUUCAGUUGCUAAGAAGUUCACAAGUCUCAGCUUCUCAGGUAUGCAGAAUUUUUGCAGAAUCUCAAAAAUAAUUUCACAGAAUUUUUGGGGAAUUUUUCACUUUGAGGAAUUGAUUCAUGCAUGUAGACAUUACAGGUAUAACUGUUCAAUUUAUAAGAAAUUUUAUUUUGACUCUGAACAGCAGAUCUGAAAUUGUGUCAUGGAGUGGAACUGGAACUAUGUCAUAUGGUCCGCAUUGAUAUGUUUGAUUUCACUUGUUUGGAGCUUGAGGAAGAAUAGUUACAGACGUUCAAAGCUCCCUCCUGGCCCUAAGGGCUGGCCAUUGUUCGGAAAUCUUUUUGAUCUUGGAAGCUUGCCUCACAGGAGUUUGGAAGCACUAAAACAGGACUAUGGUCCUGUUGUGUGGUUAGAUCUUGGCAGCGUCAAGACCAUGGUGCUUCUUUCUGCUGCCCCUGUCGAAGAGUUAUUCAAGAGUCAUGAUCUCUCCUUCAUCAACCGGAUCACUAAUGAUGCAAUGAGGUCACAUGAUUACUACCAGAGCUCUAUAGCAUUUGGUCCAUAUAGUGUCUACUGGCGCACCUUGAGGCGGAUAUGUACCUCUGAGCUCUUUGCAAAUAAGAGGCUCAAUGAAACGAUGAUGAAUAGGCAAAAAAGCGUGGAUGAAAUGUUGCUAUGGAUCCAGAAGGAAGCAGAAAGAGGUACUAGUGGAAUCAUAGUUCGACAUUAUGUGUUUCCAGCAUUGUUCAACAUGAUUGGGAAUGUCACGCUGUCUCAGGACCUAGUGGAUCCACAGUCGAAGACCUCCUCUGAUUUUGGCAUCGCGUUGGAUGGUUUCCAUCAAUGUCUAGGCCGUCCCAAUAUAUCUGAUCUGUUACCCUGGCUAAGAAGGUUCGACCUCCAAGGAAUAAGGAGGAAAAUGGAUCAAGAUUUAGGAAAAUGCCUAGAAAUUAUUUCAGUAUUCGUCAAGGAGCGUGUGAAGCAGAGGCAACUACAAGAAUCAUCACAACAGAGGCAACUACAAGAAUCAUCACAACAGGACUUUUUGGAUGUGUUGUUAGAUUACAGGGGCAGUGGAAAUGACGAACCAGCUAAACUAUCAGAAUUCCAAGUCACAAUUUUUCUAAUGGUAAGUCCAAGAACAGAAUUUGAUAACAGUCUCUCUACUUUAAGGAUAGGGGCAAGACUGCGUACAUUUUACCCUCCUCAGACCCUGCUCUAAGCGGGAUAUACUGAGUAUGUAUGGUAUGGUAUCUAUACUUUUGUUGUUUGUGAACUACAAUAGUAGAGUUAUCUGACUGCUUAUAUUCUAGCUAUAUGCUCCUUCCACAACCGAUGUGAGACAGCUCCUAACACUAAGCGGGUAAGAUUUGUGCAGGAAAUGUUUAUUGCUGGAACGGAUACAACAAGCAGCACGACUGAGUGGGCGCUGAGUGAGCUCUUACAAAAUCCUGAGCAAAUGAAGAGAGUUAAAGCUGAGAUUUCCAGUGUCGUUGGAGCAAACAAACAACUGAAAGAGAGCGACACUGAUAAGCUACAUUAUCUGCAGGCCAUUGUGGACGAGACACUACGCCUGCACCCUCCUGCUCCAAUUUUACUUCCCAGAAAGGCGGUCCGAGAGACCAACUUCAUGGGCUAUACUAUUCCCAAGGACACACAAGUCUUAAUCAAUAACUGGGCAAUAGGGAGAGACAAAGAUUUAUGGGAGGAUCCUUUGUCAUUUAAGCCUGAGAGGUUCUUGGACUCGAAGAUCAACUACAAGGGUCAGAAUUACGAGUUUUUACCAUUCGGAGCAGGGAGAAGAAUUUGCCCGGGCCUUCCAUUGGCUCAUCGCAUGGUACCCUUAGUUCUAGGCUCCCUACUUCACCACUUUGAGUGGGAGCUUUGUGAUGGUGUGAAGACUAUUGACAUGAGGGAGACUCUGGGGUCAGCAUCGAAAAAACUAGAACUCUUACGAGCAGUUCCAAAACGAAAGAUGACUUAAUAGUAGUUACUAAAGCUUAUAAGCUGGUUUUUUGGAACAGGCCAGAUGAAAUAAAGUCAGGUAAGGUAGUUUGGAAACAAGCAAAAAUAAAGACAGUUGAGGUACUGGAUUUGUGAUUGUUGUACUAUCUUGUUUGAUGAUUGAGUAUUAUGUUCGUGUCGGACACUCGACACUUCCACCUGGGUAUGGACACUACGAAACUUAUUUUGGGCUAAAAAAAAUUAUGAAAUUUUCAACUUUGUAACCUAACUGAAAAAAUCUAAUUUUUUUUGUCACAAAUAACCAUUGACCUAAAUUAACAGAUCAUCUGAUUGCAGACAAGAGAGAAACAAAUUGUCAACUGAUAUAUACUCUACUUCUUUAGAUGUCAACUGGUACGUCCUUUUCAUGAAUCGUAAACCAAAUGUAAAUAAAAUUUUGAAUGACCUCUUGAUCAGGUGAUAUCUCCCUUGCUUGCUUUGUGCGAGCCCGAGGGUCCGAACACAAACUUAUUCAAUCUUUAUUUCACGAGUCACCGAACUUAUAUUUUUAUCAACUUAAACCCUACUGUUUAUGAAUGAUAAAAGAAAACCGAAAAGGAAAAAAUAAUGUUGUAUCAGAAUAGUUAAACUUCCGAAGCUGUGAUAAACACACAUUAAAGGAUAAAAUGAUGCGAAGAAAAUUUCAACUUGGUGAGCCCAACAGAAUAUUUUGAACUGUGCACCUAAAUCUUGAGGGUGUGGCUGUCCUAAUUUUCAAGAAAAAUUCCAUAAAUAUUACUGUUUGAUAAGAUGGCUUCCGACCUACUACUUUGCAAAUUGCAAUCCAAAAUAUUAAAUCGUGCUGCGUUUAUCAUAUUUUCCUUAUUAACACUACAUAAUCUAACGUUUGGAAACCCUAAACGCUAUUUCAAGUAGCAUUUUACUCUAAAACGUUAAUUUUUUUUUACGUUUUGUAGUGAUUUUCAGGCUCAAACGCAACACGAUCUAGCGUUUACUUCAAAAAUUAAAACGCCGGAUCAUCUGGCCUCUGGCGUUACCAAAAGAUAUUUAGGGUCAUUUUCCCAACUUUGUUACUUUGGGCGUUACUUGUGGAAAUUAUGGCAUAUGGGCCUUUUCUCAAAUCUUGAAGGAUUCUUUAUCAAGUAUCUUUCAUACAUAUAAUUGCAAAUAUCAUUCAGUUGUCGAUCAUUCAUAGUCAAUUCUGUCUACCUUUAAACAGCAACUCUGCAACUGUAAUGGAGUGGAACCAGAACUAUGUUAUCUGGUCUGCAUUGAUAAGUUUGAUCUCAGUUGUUUGGCACUUGAGGAGUAAGAAUAGUUACAAAGGUUCCAAGCUCCCUCCUGGUCCUAAGGGAUGGCCAAUUUUCGGAAACCUUUUCGAUCUUGGAAGCUUGCCACACAGGAGUCUUGGAGCUCUGAGACAAGAACAUGGUCCUGUUGUGUGGUUAAAUCUUGGUUUUGUCAAGACCAUGGUGCUUCUUUCAGCUGGUGCAGCCGAGGAGUUUUUUAAGAACCAUGAUCUCUCCUUUGUUGAUCGCUUCAUUAAUGAUUCCAUGAGGUCACAUAACUAUGAUAAGAUCUCUAUAGCUUUUGGCUCAUACACCCCUUACUCGCGCACCUUGAGGCGAAUAUGUACUUCUGAGCUGUUCGCUAACAAGCGGAUUAAUGACACAAUGUUGAUCAGGCAAAGAAGUGUGGAUGAACUCUUGUCAUGGAUUGAAAAUGAGGUAGAAAAAGGUGAAAGCUGUGGAAUUGUUGUGAGACACUUUGUGUUUCCAGCAUUGUUUAACAUGAUUGGGAAUCUGACUCUGUCGCGGGACUUGGUGGAUCCACACUCGGAGAUUUCCUCUGAGUUCUUCAUGGCUAUGGAUGGUGUUCAUGAGUGUGUUGGCCGUCCUAAUAUUUCUGAUUUAUUACCCUGGCUUAGAAGGCUUGAUCUACAAGGAAUAAGGAGGAAGAUGGACUGUAAUCUUGGAAAAGCCAUUGAUAUAAUUUCAGAAUUUGUCAAGGAGCGUGUGGAACGAAGGAGACAAGAGCAGAAAUCAUCGUCAGAGCACAAAAUGGACUUCUUGGAUGUGUUGUUAGAUUUCAGGGGCACUGGAAAGGAUGAACCAGCCACACUAUCAGAGUACCAAGUCACAGUUUUUCUAAUGGUAAGUUUAGGCACAGGCUAUUGUUUUGCAGACAACAUGAACAUUACAUUAUGCUUAUCUAGAGGCCGUUAGGCUGGGCUUAAAAUUGUGAUUUAUGACUUAAUAAUGUGAUAAGCCGGGAGCUUAAAAUAUCUGUUUGGGUAAUUUUGACUUAUUACACAAACAGACGUUUUUCAGCUUAAAGUCAGAAACAGCUAUAAGUUCUGCCUUAAAGCCCAGACAAACAGGCUCCUAGGCUGUGGCAUCAUUGAAAACUACAAUACAUGUAUUUAGAAGUGGAUGUCAUUUGUGCAGGAGAUGUUUUUUGCUGGAACAGAGUCGACGAGCACUACAACUGAGUGGGCGAUGUGUGAGCUCCUACAAAAUCCUGAUCAAAUGAAGAAGGUUAAAGCUGAACUUGCUAGAGUUGUUGGAGCAAACAAAAAGCUGCUAGAGAGUGACAUUGAUAAUCUUCCUUACUUGCAAGCAAUUGUAGCCGAGACACUACGCCUACAUCCUCCCGGUCCACUUCUGAUUCCAAGGAAGGCUGUUCGCGAAACCAAUUUCAUGGGCUAUAGUAUUCCUAAAAACACACAAGUUAUGGUCAAUUGCUGGGCUAUUGGAAGAGAUGGAGAUAGCUGGGAGGAUGCUUCGUCGUUUAAGCCUGAGAGGUUUUUGGACUCGAAUGUUAAUUACAAGGGUCAGAGCUAUCAGUUUUUACCAUUUGGAGCUGGCAGAAGGAUGUGCCCGGGUCUUCCAUUGGCUCAUCGGAUAGUACCAUUGGUCCUGGGCUCCUUGCUUCACCAUUUUAUGUGGGAGCUGAGUGGCGGUGAGAAGAUCAUAAAUAUGGCAGAGACCAUGGGGGCAGGGGUGAAAAUGCUUCACCCCUUACAAGCAAUUCCAAAACGAAAGAUUAUGUGAUCGAUAAAUGAUGUGUUAUGUCUAUGUAUUAUCUAUGAGCUUUACAACAUUGUUAUUCACCUUUUUACUAUCUCUAAUUCACAGUAUCAUUUUCUUUCACAGGGGCUAAUUAGUAUUUGAUUUGUCGGCUAACGGUCUGACUUUGUUUGUUAAUAUGAGAACCAAUAAUACAAAAGGUGAAAAUGAAUAAUUUAGUAUCUCUGUCAGCAGUAAUCAUUUGUUCAUUCAUCAACCAUUCAUCGAAACAGUACUAGUUCAUUGACUCGAACUCACAGCUUCUGAUUCGACCGGGGGUCUUCUUGCUCAGCUUCUUACAACCUGGUAUCUUCUUCCGUCUCUAUCUCAAACAGCUUUGAUCAUUGUGUUUCUUUUCUUGAUUUGAUCCUUCUGAGGGCAAAAACAAGUUUAAAGUCCUAUAGGAAGAGAGCGUAAAUGCUAUGUUAAAGACGAGGUCAAUACACAAAAAUCCUUCAAACAGUUUCUGUAGAUCUUAAAGGAAUCUUUAGCAGAAAAAAAAACAGUUGUUGUUUAGAACAGAACAGCUAACAAAUUAAUGAGUAAAGACAUACUGUUACUUCUUUUUAAGCAAUUAUGAUUUGUCUUUCGAACAGAAAUCAUAAUUUUGGCAUGGAGUGGAACUGGAACUAUGUUUAUUGGUCUGUCGCGUUGAUGAGCCUGAUUUCACUUGUUGGGCACUUAAGAAGGAGAAAUAGUUACAGACCUUCCAAGCUGCCACCUGGUCCUAGGGGAUGGCCGGUUUUUGGCAAUCUUUUCGAUCUUGGAAGCUUGCCACACAGGAGUUUAGAAGCCUUUAAGCAAGAUUAUGGUCCUGUUGUGUGGCUAAAUCUUGGUUCUGUCAAGACCCUGGUGCUUAAUUCUGCUGCUCCAGUUGAAGAGUUGUUCAAGAACCAUGAUCUCUCCUUCGUUGAUCGGAUCACUAAUGACGCUAUGAGGUCACAUGACUACUACAAGAUUUCUAUAGCUUUUGGUCAGUAUAGCAGCUACUGGCGCACCUUGAAGCGGAUAUGCACCUCUGAGCUCUUUGCAAAUAAAAGGAUCAAGGAAACAAUGUUGAUUAGGCAAGAUAGCGUGGAUG